rnacentral:rRNA from 1 species
AGACUGAACGCUGGCGGCAGGCCUAACACAUGCAAGUCGAGCGGUAGAGAGGUGCUUGCACCUCUUGAGAGCGGCGGACGGGUGAGUAAUGCCUAGGAAUCUGCCUAGUGGUGGGGGAUAACGUUCGGAAACGGACGCUAACACUGCAUACGUCCUACGGGAGAAAGCGGGGGACCUUCGGGCCUCGCGCCAUUAGAUGAGCCUAGGUCGGAUUAGCUAGUUGGUGAGGUAAUGGCUCACCAAGGCGACGAUCCGUAACUGGUCU